AGCAAAGCCCUCACAAUCUCAUUUCCAAACUGGACCAUUAGUUUUCUUAUUUAGUAUAAGCAUCAGUUACUACCUGCUUAUAAAACUGUUGCUUAACUGAAUUGUCUGAAUUGUAGUUUACACUGUUUCUUUUGUAUCAUGCAUUGCGCAGGCAUUCUUUGACUUGUUCAUCAGAAGUAUGUGAGGGUAUCUGCUUGAAAUUAGAAACUUUCUGUAUGAAUCGUGAGUGUUCAUAACUUUGUUGUGCCUACAGUUUUUCAAAACAUGGAUACCAACCCAUAGUUGCCACAGCAGACUGGAAAAGAAUUAUACAGAGCAAAGUAUUUGCUGCUAUUAAUGUAGAUUACUCCAGAUUCACACUUGAACAGAGUAAUGAGAAAACAAUCUACUCCAAAAGAAAAUACAUCUUCAGACUAACCAUGCAGUUUUCCAUCUCUGCCGCAAGUGAGGAAGGUUGCUACUACAGAAAAAAGGCUCAAUUGCAACACCUUCUGCAUUGUGGAAAACAUAGGGAUCUUUUCUUUAUCCUCCUGAGACAUCUGGCUCUUAACUGCGUGAUUACUGUGAUAAAAUGAAAAAUUGAAGGAUCAAAAGAGAUAAACCUGGCCUUAUACCUCAUCCAAGUAAAUAUUCUUCUGGCCUA